rnacentral:lncRNA from 1 species
AGCAUUUCAGCACUUAUAGAAUAUGUAUAAGCACCUUCAAGUCUUAUUAGGGACUUAUUAGAAGAGACAAAUAGUUCAUACUUUAAGAUGAAGAGAUGACAAGGUACAGCAGUCAAGUAGGAAAAUAGGCAGACCUUAUAGACUCAUGUCAUGAACUGGAGAAAUGAUAAUUUCUUUGAACAACAUUCUGGCAUAGCUAGAACAUUGGACUGGAUUUUGAACAUUUCAUUGUAUUUUGGAUAUUGAAAACCAGAGAAAGAUUCAAAGAGAAAUUAAUAGAAGGACAACAAAAAUGAUCAAGAGGUUACAUAGAGAAAAGCAACCAAAAAAGUCAUUCUCUAUAAUUUAAUCAAGUAAUCAUUUCAGAGGAGUAUUAUAGGCUUAAACAUGUGUCAAAGAUGGAAACACAAACAAUGCAAUGGCUUAGAGUCUUAAAGGACAAGAAGCAGAUGGUCAUGAGCAAAUGCAUUGACAUGAAAUUAAUGAAAAUAUCAUUUCAUUGUAAUCUGGCAUAGAAUGGGUUUUAUCAGGCAGUAGAAUAGUUCACAGAAAGUGAUGGAAGCCCCACAGAUUUUUGCAUUUGAAGCCAGAAAAGUAAUAUUAGUGGACAGCAAGGGAAAGGUCCAUGGAGCAGUCAGGUCUGGAUUAUUUUUUCAAGGACCUAUCAUUCCUUUUCUCAAAGAAGAAAAUGUAAAGAUUACACAUAUAUGAAGAGAAAGACCACUCUAUCUUUGGCCUGACUGAUAGAAAGUUCACACAAGAGAUUAUGGGGAUAACUUGGGAGUGAGGGAGGCUGAUCUGUAGCCCAGUGAGAUCAGCAAGCAUCCCUCUUCUGACUUUAAUGGAUUAGGAAAAACCUUGAGAAAGUUACCUCAGGAUUCCUAAAGCAGAUGUCAACUUUUGUGUUAUAUCUAAGCUUGUCACAGACAGAAGGAAUUUGCUACUGAUCCAUCAGCGGCUGAGUAGAACAAGUAUGACAGCAAUGAGACAGGUGAAUUCUUUUGUCUGUUUCUGCCAAAUCAUUUGUGUCCCAUGAGCCGUAGUUUCUGGGAUGGCAAAACAACGGGCAAAUUCAAGCUGAUGUGAAAUGAGAGUAACGAGAAGACAGAAGCUGUUGGUAUCAGGAGGGAGAUUAUUUCAGCCCUCUGCAUGAGGAGUUUGAACCCAAAUUGUUCUCACUCCCAAAACACAUGGCUGAGCCACCAGGCUAGAAUCCUCUGAUCCAGAUCACGCGGCCUGCCACCAAAACGCGAUGUGACCACCACGCCAGUUCAAGUGAAAGGCUUUUGUGUUAAGACUGCCAAGAAAAUUCCAAUUUCCUGAGGAAAACCCCAACUCCUGCUACUUCAAGCUGUAUAAAAGAAAUCAGUGCUGGUUCAUACGCAUACCCUUCAUCCUCUGGCCUUCAGUGAAUCCUGAGCUGCAGGCCGCUGGGCGGCAGCCUCGCAGAGACCAGCCCCACCACUCUGACCAGAGCAGGGCAUGGAGCACUGUGGGCCCAGCUGCCAGGCGGUGUCACACUCAAUUUCACAGAGAACGGCAGGGCUUCUUCACAGCUCACACUAGGCAGCAGCUCCGAGGUCCUGGACAUUUAUGUCCUGAGCAAGCCAGCUCAUUUAGCUUUUGUCACAGGUGUUUUAUUCUUUUUGGCAAGAUCUACUGGAGCAAAAUUCUGUUUGCACAUCAGCAGGCUUGUCAUGGCCUCCCUAUCACAUCCAUCAGAGGGUCUCUGUGGAUUCAGGCUGAACGUCUCGCAUUUCAGCUCUGGAACAGAAAGUCCUUUUCCCUUGUGUGUGUCCCCUUUGUGCAGGGGCAGCGGGCCGCUCUCCCACACCACAGGUCAACGGGAUAGGAGCCACCAGGCCCCACUGAACAAGGGAGGAGCUCAAGACCUUGCAGAACAACAGGGUGAGUCAAGCCAUGUCCUUCAUUAUGUCUGGAUUUGUAAUCAAGGCUGACUCCAGACAGCAAAAUUAAUCCAUGCUCCCUGAAUCUCAGCUGGAAGAAAAUGGAUUUGGUUUACUGACUCUGCCAAAGCUGAAGCAAUUUACCCCGGCUGAGGAUCUGAUUCUUAUCCCUGCCUCAGGUUACUAUGUGUGUUUCAGCACACAGCACAAAAGCAUGAUCUUCGAACUGACCAGAGGUCGAACAUGGCUUCCAGGCUGGAAGGCCACAGCAGAACUGAAUCCAGGCAGCACAAUUGGUGUGAGAAACACAGUGCUGGGUAAAAUGAAAAUCCUGGAGUAACACCUUGUGUGAUAAAUAACCCCAUCUCCCACCCCAGCACCAGCAGCUGAGGUGCCUUUCCCACAGGCACAGCCAGUAGCCCCUUGAUGCAGGCAGGCCGGCACUGAUCCUGGCCCUGGCGGGGUGAUGAUAAGCAGUACUGCAGGACACACUGCAGGGAAUGCGAGAGGCUGUAAAUGAAGGCCUUCCUAAUUAGAAGGUGGUCAGAAGCACACACAGAUUCCUGGUCCAGGGUAAGCUGUUUAAGUUUAAGGUGACAUUAAAAGAUAAACACAGGAAAUAACAGGGGAUGAAACAGCAGGUGUGUGCAGGGCACUGCCAGGAGCACAAAGGCAUGAGUAAGGGCCAAGGAAAACGUAAGAGUCUGAGAAAGGCAGGGAAAGGCAAUUCUGAAUCAUAAGCACAGAAGACCAGUAAGCAAUACACGAUUUCAGAAUAUUUGUGAUUUGUUAGCAUGCUGUAAGUCUGCAUAGCUGGGAUUCCAUAGAGUGGUGCAGUAGUUGGGACAGAAAAGGUACAGCCUGUAAUAUCUCAGUGGGUCAUGCCCCUGUGACAAAGGACAAAGGAGUGGAAUUACAGAUCCUGCAACUCCUAGCUAGAGGUGCAGUUCUAAACCAAACUAAAUGCCUUGGGGGGUUAAAAUUAAACCACCGUAAACCCACAAUUUCAGCUGCAAGGGCAAAUAUGUUUUCUGAAUACCUGAAGUUCUGCUGCGGGAAGAAUACGACUGUACUGGGAGUGAAGGACUCUCAACAGACUUGCCUUGACAGCCUUACUUGAGUAUCCUGUGGUAAAGUGAUGGCUAUGAUGCUGCACCCUCUCCACACUGUGGCAGAAUGCAGCCCUUAUAAGAACAUACAAAGAGAAAAAGAGAAAAGCAAAUGUCUCAUGGGAGAUGGGGGGAUAUCCUGUAACAUAAAACUGCAUUGGAUAAAGUAUUCAAAAGAGUUUGAUAGGAAAAGACCAAAUAGGACCUAAUAAUAUUCUCUUAAUGAGGCAAUUUAACUGCCUGUAAUUCUGUCCUAUG